rnacentral:lncRNA from 1 species
AUUAACAUUUUUUUUUUUUAGGUGACAUCAAAUAUUUGUUACAAUUUGAUAUGUCAAAUUGAACAAUCUUUGGGAUCAUUGUCCACUAGUAACGAUAGCCUUUUGAGUUUCAUGGCAAUUAAAAUGAAGGAAAAAUUUAAUAAGUAUUGGGAUGGUUGUUUCAAGAUAAAUAAGUUGUUGAUUGUUGCUUCCGUACUUGAUCCAAGAGGAAAAAUGAAAUUCGCAACACAUUGCUUUGAGAAAUUAUAUGGCAAGGAUAGUGCCAAAUGUGUUGAGAUGAAGGAAAUGAUCAAGAAUUUAUUGAUUAAGCUUUAUGAGUCUUAUAAUGCACAAUACAAACCGAGUGGAAGUGGGAGUGCAAGUGGAAGUGCAAGCGGAAGCACAAGCGAGAGCCAAAAUUUAACUAGUGGAAGUGGAAGUGGUUCGCAUUUUUGGGAUUUGGAUGAUGAUGAUGAUGUUAUGAUUGAGGAUCCUUUCUCCGAAUUUAGUAAAGCGGUUGCGGUUAGUGAAGGUAGCCCAGAGUUAUCAAAUGAGUUGGAUCUUUACUUGAUGGAGAAGACUGAAAAAAUUGCAAAAAGUAAUUUGGGCACUAAAUUUGAUAUUUUAUUGUGGUGGAGGGUGAAUAGUGCCAAUUACCCAAUCUUGUCAAGUAUAGCAAGGGAUGUUCUUGCUAUUCCGGUGUCUACUGUUGCCUCUAAGUCUGCCUUUAGUACUGGAGGUCGUAUAUUAGAUCAGUAUAGAAGCUCUUUGACUCCAGACAUGGUGGAAGCAUUGGUAUUGUUACAGAAUUGGUUGCGGACUUCUCUUUUUGUGGAUACAACGACGGACCUAAAUAAAUUAGUUGAAGACAAUGAGUUUAUGGAUCAACUUGCGGAAGGUAUAUUUUGUAAAAUUUUAAUUUUAAUUUACUUUUUAAGUAUUAUCAAUAUUAUAUAAUUUGUUUAAUUUUAAUCUAAGUUUAUUUUUUAAGUAUUACUAACCUUGUUCAAUUUAUCCAAUUUUUGUAUGUAGAACUUCGCAAAUCAACAACAGUCGACCAACUUUGUAGGUCAACAUGAAAAUUGCGGUUGAACAUAAACCAUUUUAGGUAAUUAAAUUGAUAUAUAUUUAUUAAUUAAUUAUUAAAUCGCUUUAUUUUAUUUAGUUUAAUUAUUGAGUGCUUUGGCUUAUUUUGAAAGUUUGAAUUUUGAUGUAGGUGAUGUGGGUGGCGGAUGAAAUUGUUGCUUGUGUAUUGAAGUUGAAGGCUUCUCUUAUUUUGUUUUGUUUAGACUUUAGAGUAUGGGAUUUUCAUGUAGAUGAUGUGGGUGGUGGAUGAAAUUGUUGCUUCUCUUAUUUUGUUAUUUACUUGAUGGCUUUGUAUUAGGACUUUUGUUAUUUUGUUUUUUACUUGAAGGCUUUGUAUUUGAAGUUGUUGAUUGUGUAUUGUAGACUUAUUGUGUUUUAUUUUUCUUGUUGUGAACUUAUAUUCUGUAAAAUGUAGGGAAAAAUUGUAAAAUGCAGUAAAAUUAGGCGAAAAUUGUAAAAUGUAGUAAGAUUUGGUUAAAACUGUAAAAUCCAUAAAUAUGUGCGAACCGAACCAAACCAAACCAAACCGAACCGAAUUUUAGAACCGAACCGAAAUAUUUCGGUUCGGUUCGGUUCUAAAAUUCGGUUCGAUUUGGUUUGAAUUUUUUAGAACCAAUUGGUUCUGGUUUGGUUCGGUUCGGAGCCCGAACCGAACCGAACCGGAAAAUGCCCACCCCUACUUAGGAGGAUGAAUCAGAACACAAAAGACUCGACACAAGGAGUACUCGGUCCUAACUAGGAAGGGCCAUACAGAGUCAAACAGAUGGCUAGACCCGGAGCCUAUAAGCUCGUCCGCGCAGAUGGCCAUGAGGUAAAACGACCGUGGAACGUAGCGCAUCUCAAGAAAUAUUUCCAGUAAGAUCCAAUUAUGCUUAAGAGUUAUUUAUUUCCUAUUGUCGUUUAUUUCAAUUUCAUGUAAGUCGAGUUCAGUAAUCAAUGGAACGUGGAGGAAUUUCAUUCAGUUGUCAUCGAUGUAUAUAUAUAUCUGGUUGUCAGCUUCCUUCUCUAAGUUUUCGACCUGAGUCUGGUGAGAAGCACUGAGGGAUUCGAGCUGAGCUUCGUAGGUAGCCUUUUGCGUCUGUAAGUCCUCCUUAACCUUAUUCAGCUUCUCUUCAAGAGUGAUAGCCUUUUCCUGCGCAAGGGACUCUCGCUCAAUCAGCUUAAUAUUCUCAAUGUUAAGAUCUUCAGCUUUCUUCUCUGCAGCGUUAACCUUGCUUUUGGCUGAUUGAAUGUCUUCUUUCAUUCUUCAGUCGUAACGGCCGACCUUCGCCUUAUAAUAAGUGGUCAUACAACCGAGAUGAAUGACAUUGAACUGCAUAGCCCUGACCAUCUCGCCUAGAGUGCUGCAAUCAAAUUCCUUCAAGUCUUUCUUGCUCACGAGCCUAGAAAACUCGCUGAUAUAAAGGACCAGCUUUGGUCGAUUAUCGGGCAGACGAGGUUUUAGGCCUGCAGGUAGAGGCGGAGAAAUAAGAUCAACGCCACUGGUAGUCCCACUAGUUUCGCCGGUCUUGGGAGGAGGAGGUGGUAGAGUCUUCAAAGAGGCGACUUGCUCCGCAAUGUUAACCUGUUUGCCAAGAGGAGCAACCUUAUGGUGAUCUCGCUUAGCAGCAUUGGGACGAGGAUGUUUCAUGUUUAUAGCCCCGAUCACAGCGUCCUUCAUCUCGAGGUCAGUGGGUAUCAGACGAGAUUCGAACAAGUUGUAAGUGGACAGCAAUUCUCUGCACGAGCAGGAAUUGGCCAACACAAUCUCAACCCGCUUGAGCACGUCAUGCUUGAGUUUGUAGUGGACGCCCCAAGAACCUGCAGCUCGAGCAAAGACAGUGUCAGAGAUAGAUCAAUCAUAAGAAUAACUAAGGGUACAAGACAUCUAAAACGAGCGGGCCAUCUGGAACUACGAAACGGGAGGGGACGCGAACAUUCUCCCCAUCAAUUUGUGCCACAUGACCCCAGGGACCCCCAGCAAAAAAAAAAAAUUUCUUCCAAUUCCCACCACCAUAUAUUGGAAGAUCAGUUAUGGGUUUACUGGUCUUGGUGCUUGACAUGAAAUAAUACCAACUAGCGUCUUUGGGGCUGCUCUUUAACUGAUAUAGGUGUUUGACCUCAUCAACCGUGGGCUCACUCUGACAGCAUCUGCUCCACAAAAUGAACAGACCAGAAAGUACUCUCCACCCAUUAGGGUUAAGCUGACCAGGAGCUAAGUGCAACCCACUAAGCAUCUGGACGAAAUAAAGUUGUAAGGGCAGCCUCAUCCCAAACUUAAAAUUUUCCAGAAACAGGGUAACAUAUCCCCUAGGAGGUCGGUUGGGAGUAUCCUUUUUACCUGGAAUCCUAAGAUGUAUACCAUCAAGGAUGUCAUAAAUAGUUCGAAGAUCUAUGAGGUCCUCUGUUGUGGUCAUACAGGUCAUGAGGUAAAUAGCAUAGUUUUCUGCUAGAGCUCUACCCCCUAGAUUCCUCUUCUUUUCUGGUCGUGAUACCUCUGGUGAGGAUGCUUCACCAGAGUCUUCACCCGGGUCCUUACUUAGAGUAUCCUCCGAACAAGAAGACUCGUCACCGUCGCUAUUUGAAGUGGUUGCUUCAGGAGACAUUCUCCUAGCACUAGUCCUUAUAUUACGUCUUAUCGGUUUUAGAGGAAUCCCAGGGUCAAAAGCGGGAUCAGCGAGUAGACCAGGUAGGAAGUCUAACUCGUCAUCAUCAACCUCAAUCACUUUUUCUUUGCCUUUUGACAUUCCCUAAACUCUAUCCGAAAUGACACAACCGAACCCCACUCAAAAUAACAACAAAAAUCCAAAGUUGGGAAGGAGAAAACAGUACCUGAAGUAGUGAAGCACCAAAACGGAAAUAAGAACGGUAGUUUGAAUUUUGGAGAGGAGAGGAUCACCGGCCGCCGGAGGAUGCGAAAGAGACGGAUGAGGAAAAGAACACUUUAGAGAGUUAGGGUUUUGAAGUGACGGUGAUACUUUCGGUUUAUUGCCAUUCAAACGGCACGUGCUCCGAGGGUUCCACAACUAUCAAUUUGAAAUUCAAACGGGUGGACGGAUUCCUGCCACCUCUUCCGCAUUUAAUUGCGAAGUGACUCUUCGAGGAAGCAGUCUGCUAGUGGCAAAAGGGGAAACGACUAAGCGGGAGUGAGCAAUAUCCUUAUUUCUUACAGCCAAGUCAGAUGUGCCUCAAGAAAGCCCAAACUAAUCAAGUUUCUAGUAUUAAUCCAUUGCAUUGCAAAUACUAGAAACGGGGGACCGGUGUUUAAGGGAUUUAUAACAACGAGACCAGUCAUACCUUGGACGAGGAGUCAGCCUCCUUACAAGAGAGCAAAUAGGUGAAAUCUGGUAGCGGGUAUCCACGAGCAGGAAUUUUCUACUCGACCACGAGGACGAGAUGGUCUCUUGCUAGGAGCCGACAGCUUUCCCAACUGAAGAUCGAGGUCGGCAGACCCAGUCUAUAACGGUUAACGAAACGCGCACUCCAACCGAGAAUAUAGGCACGAAACCCACUCAGUCGCAACUACGAUAUUCAAGCAUCCACUUCCGUGAGCUGGGGAAAGUGAUGUGAGUGGAUCGUGGGGGAUUGGAUUCACAGGAAGGCUAUAAAAAGGUAAUCAACAAAGGUAAACGAGUUAGACAUUUUCACAUUAGAACUUAAGAAAAAGCAUAUUUAGGGAGACAGGAGAGAAAAGCUCAAAGGCACUUUUACUGCCUACUGCCUAAGAGACCAAAAAAUAGCCACGAGAUCAGUGGUCAAGUUUCCCAAAAAAGUAAACCGACUUUUCUGACUUGAGCGUCGGAGGGUUUACGCUGGGAGUGCUCUGACCAGUUUCUGUGUGCGCAGGAGUCUGCUGAAGUUGAAGUCAUACGAGGUGUUGUUCUGCUCGGUGAGAAGAGUUACGAGGAGAAUCUACAGUUGAUCGAGAGUUCGAGAGUUGAAGAAAGAUCCUGGUUGUGCACGAGCAGACACCAGAAUCUCGCAUCAACAUGUAGUAUUACAAAUAUUAAAAAUAUGAUUUUUUUAUGAAAAAGUUUAAAUUUAUUAAAUUGGUGACUCAAUUAUAGGAUGAAAUGAAUUAAUUGAGUUAAGCAGGAUUAGAUUUUUUUAUACAAUUAAUAAAUGGAUCAAUGAGGGUGGGCAAAGUAACUUGACUUGACUCGAUCCAAAAAAUUCAAGUUCGAACUAAAUAAUGACUCCAACCUAAUCGAGUUGGAUUAUGGCCAAUCUGAUUGGAUCUAAUCGUGAACCCAAUCCAAUUCGAAACACUAUGCACACAUAAAUAAUAUACGACACAAAUUUUUUAUUUGAUUCAAUCCGAACUAUAAUUAGGUCAGAUAGAAUAGGAUUACAAGUUUGAAUUGAGUUUAAAUUACCUUUUUUUCCCAACCCGAUUAACUUGAAACCCAAUCAAAUUGAUAUAGACUAGACCCGGUCCGAACAUGAAUUUGCUCGUUCUUAGAAUCUGAGUGUAAAUGGGCUCAAAUUUAACACCCACAAGAAGGCCCAAGAAAUUAGAUGCAGGCCCAAGCCAGCAAAUGAUUAGGUGCAUGUGGCUUUCUUUGACUAAUACAUCCAUAACGUUGCGACCUUAUUCGUCAAAGUUUGUUAAAUCACUAGAACAUUUCCACCAUCCUCUUCUUUUAUUUUCUUUUUUUCCUUGUCUGUCUUUGUCUUUAUAAUUUGUCAAAAAAAAUAAUUAAUUAUAAAUAAAAUAAAAUAAAUACUAACUUUAACUCAAUUUUAGCCACUCGUUGCAUGAGGAGAGGUAAAGACGAAAGGUAAAAAUUAAAUAAAUAAAAAACCUUAUCCUAACAAUAAACUGAACAAAAGGAUAAAGAAGCAAAAUCAAAACCACCGUCCCCAAGACUCAUGUCAUGAUUACACCAUGUUACCAUUAGAAAAAAUAAAUGCCAAAACAAUCGGGUGCACACUUAUUUGUAAUGAAUCAUGAUUUUAUCUUGCUCCAUAAUAAAGGAUAUACAGCCAGAGUUGGUAAUAUUUCAUUUGUUUUAUUAAUUCGACACAAAUAUGAUAGGAAUAAAUAAGUUUAGACAGUUAAAUUUGAUAAAAUUAUUAAAAUUGUUCGUAAUUAUGAUACUUCAGUUAAUAACCAUGCCGAGUUCAAGUUUAGAGUUUACGACACAAUAACCUAUUUAUGACAUAAUUAGUUGUUUUAUAUUGACUUAUUUUUUAGUUAAAGAUAUAUAUAUUUGUCAUAUUUAGAACAAAAUCAAUUAGAGUUUAAGAAUAGUACUAAUAAUAUUAAAAAUAUAAUUUUUAUUAAAAAAAUUAAAUUUAUUAAAUUGACGACUCAAUUAUUGAAUGAUAACAAAUGAAUUGAUUAAGCAGGAUUAGAUUUUUUAUACAAUUAAUAAAUGGAUCAGCAAUGGGUGGACAAAAUAGCUCGAUUUGACUAGAUCCAAAAAAAUUAAGUUCGGAUCAAAUGUAGAUGAAGACUCCAACCCUAUUGGAUCUUAUCGAUAACACAAUCUAAUUUAAAACAUAAUGCCAUAUACAAACAAUAUAUGACACAAAUUUUUGAUCAAUAUGAUCAUAUUCGAAUUAUACUCAGUUCAUAUCAAAUAAAAAUACAAGUUCGGAUUGAAUUUAAAUUAUUUUUUUCAAUCCGAUUAACUCAAAACCUCAUCGAAUUAAUCCAAACCCAAUCCAAACAUAAAUUUGCUCAUCUACAGGACUUGAGUGUAAGUGAGCUCAAAUUUAAAACCCAUGAGAAGACCCAAGAAAUCAGAUGCAGCCCAACCCUGCAGAUGAUUAGGUGCAGGUGGCUUUCUUUGACUAAUAAAUCCAUGACGUUGCGAUGUCAUUGGUCAAAGUUCGUUAAAUCACUAGAGCAUUUCCACCAUCCUCUCCUAUUUUUUAUUCUCUCCUCAUCUCUCUUUAUCUUUGUAAUUAGCGGAAAAAAAUUAAUUUAAUUAUAAAUGAAAUAAAAUAAAUACUAACUUUAACUCAAUUUUAGCCGCUCAUUGCAUGAGGAGAGGCAAAGAACGAGAGGUAAAAAAUAAAUAAAUAAAUAACCGUAUCCUAACAAUAAACAGUAUAAACUGAACAAAAGAAUAAAGAAGUAAAAUCAAAACCCGUCGUCGCCAAGACUCAUGUCAUGGUUAUACCAUUUAAAAAAAAUGCCAAAACAAUGCGACGCACACUUAUUUGUAAUAAAUCAUGAUUUUAUCUGGUUCCAUAAUAAAGGAUAUGCAACCAAAGUUGGUAUUAUUUGAUUUGAAUUAUUAAUUCAACAUAAAUGACACGACUUAAAAGUGUUUGUUUUACUCUCAAAUAUAAGAGUGUCUAGUUAUAAUAUAUUUCGGUGAGUCCGAGGUCGAUCCACAGAAAAAGAUUUAAUUUGUUUAUUUUAUUUUAUCUAAAAUUUGAAAAUAAAACUUAAAUAUAAACAACUUAAUUUAAAUAAAAUUAUGAAAUUGAAUUAGUUAGGGUUGUGGAUUCACUCUUAGUAGUAAAUAAAACUUGAUAAAUUCUUUUUGCCAUUUUUUAGAUUUAUUGCCCAAAAGAUUAAUUAUAUAAAUUAUUAUUAUUUUCCCUUUAAUUUUAUGAUAGAUUAAGUAUUCAUUGUGCCAAAAUUUAAUUUGUCUACAAUAAGUCAAAAUACCAUUUUACCAUACCUUAUAUUUUGAUAAAAAGAAUUUAUUGUGCCAAACUCCCUUGUUUGUCUACAAUAAAUCAAAAUCUCAUAAUAUAAAAUAUGUAUAAAUUAAAUAGAAAAUAAUUUAAUUUAUAAAAUUAAAAAUAGAAUUUCAUUAAAUCUUAUUUAUUUCCUAAGAGUUUCACCUUCCCCUAACUAUUAAUAUUUAGCUAAACAUGUUUUUUAUAAAGGAAAUUAUUGAAAUUGAAAAACACAUAAUUAAAAAUGAAAUUUGAAAAUUGAAAUAAAACUAAUUUUAUUGAUUGAAAAUAAAUUACAAAGAGAGAUGAGAAGAAGAAUUUGUGGGAAAAGAAGAGAAGAAAAUGUGUGGAGAGGUGUAUUCACCCCCCUCUAUUUAUACUAAUACAUGGUAAAUCCACACCACACAAAUAAAAAAAAUCUAAUUACAUUUUAACCUUACAUUUGUCCCACUAAUAAAACAUAAACCUAACUUAUCAACUCAAGCACAUCCAACACAUUCCACUAACAAUUACCAUACCUAAUAUGAUAAAAACUUAUAAUUUUACAAUUACCACAUUUACCGUGGUAAAAACGUUAAAAAAAAACAACAAAAAUCUUGGAUCUUCCUCGACAAUGACAUAAUUUCUCGGACUUCCGGAAUCUAAAUUUGACAUCCAUGUAUUAGUUCGGAGCCUCAAAUUGCAUGAAAUUAUUAUUUUUACCUAAUAAACAUACAAAAAUACACAAAAUCAAAUAUUUAGAAAAAUAAUUAGAAAUUCACAAUAUGUUACACAAUUACAAAUAUAAAUUACAUUAAUAAAACAAAAUAACAUUUUUAUCCCUUAAUAAACAUACAAUUUUUAACACUAAUCAAUAAAUAUGUCAAGAAUAAAUAAGUUUAGAAAGUCAAAUUUGAUAAAAUUAUUAAAUUGUUCAUAUUCAUGUUACUCGGGCUAAUAAUCAUGUCGAGUUUAAGUUUAGAGUUUCUGACACAAUAACGUGUUUAUGUCAUAAUUAGUUGUAUUAGAUUGACUUAUAUUUUAGUCAAUAGAUGAUAUAUGUUACAGUUUUCGUAUUUAGAACAAAAUCAGUUAGAGUUUAAGAAGGUAGUACUACAAAUAUUAAAAAUAUGAUUUUUAUGAAAAAAAUUUAAAUUUAUUAAGUGGUGACUCGAUUAUCACAUGAUAAUGACUUAAUUGAGUUAACCAAGAUUAUACUUAUAUACAAUUAGUAAAUGAAUCGAUAAGGGGUGGAUAAAUAAUCUGACCCAACCCAAUCCAAAAAAUUUGGACCCAAAUUGGAUGCAGAUUACUCUAAUCUUGUCGGGUUGGAUUUUGGCCAACCGGAUCCAAUCUGAAACACCAUGCACACACAAACCAUAUAUAACAUAAAAUCUUGACCGAUUCAAACUUUAUUUUUAUCAGACCAGAUAGGAUUAUAAGUUUAGAUUGAAUUUGAAUUAGUUUUCUCUCAAUCCGAUUAAUCCAAAAUCUGAUCAAGUUGAUCCGAACCUAUUCCGAUCAUGAAUUUACCCAUCUUUAAGAUAUGAGUGUAAGAGAACUCAAAUUUAACACCACAUGAAAUGGACAUAAACAUGACCCACGAACUUUAUUGCCACCUAAAACAACAACCUAAGAAGUUCCUUGAUAGCUAGUAUGAACUUAAAAAUAAUAAUUAUAAUAAUAAAAUGCUGAAAAAAAUUUUAUGAACUGUUUGAAAAAAACUGGGAACUAGUAUGGGACCGUGGAGGUGCAACUGGAGGAGGCUGGGCAAGCAGCCCACCAUUUUUGCACAUUUAUCUAUUUAUGUGGAUAAGAUAAGAAAUUUCAAUUACAGUUUAUAAUAUUUGUCAGUCAAAUCCAUUCAUCCACAGUUUACUCCUGAAAACACAGGCUCGCUACCUGCGGUUUCUUAAUUUCUGCUUCAUGUCAUUUUCAUCUAGCAGCUAUGGAUAAAGCUUUAGCAGUCCACACCAAACCAUAUCCAAAUACCAAAUUAUUAAUUUGUGUAUUCAUCGUAUAGAAAAUGAUGAUAACAGUUCCUAAUAACAACGAAGGUUUGUUUGAUUAAACAAAAUGUUUGCGAUAUGUAACAAAAAAUUAUUUCUUAACUAUAAUGUUGUGAUAGUUAUAAUAAAAAAAUAAUUAUAUCAUUACAAACUCAAAAAAAUGUUGUUUUAAAUUUAUUUUUUAAUAUGGCUCUGUCACUAAUUAAAAUAUUUAAGAUGUGUUUGGUAUAUCACAUUACAUGAGAUUAUAUUAAUUAAUGUAAUGUAAUCUCUUGUUUGAUAAAUAUUCUUGUUCACAUUAUGGUGACAUAAUAUGAAUACUGCCACAUUAAGUAAAACUGAGGGGUCUAGUUUAUAUAAUAUGCCACUGUUUAUAUUGACUUUUUAAAGUUUCUUUAAUUAAAAUAAUGAAAUUAAAUAAAAAAUAUUAUAAUAUUAAAUAAAAUUAAAAACUCAAAUGUGUUCCCGACGGAUAGUUCGAAGAUAGUCGGCCACCAGUGACCUAUGCAUAAAAUCGUGCUUUGCACUAAAAUUUGGAGUCAUUAAAAUUCUUAUUAUCGGGAUUACGUAAUCAUGCAAUUAUUACUGACAAAAAAACUUUCGUUUAUUGUAAUUUAACAGUCAAAAUUUUGAAAACAAAAACUUUAAGGGUAGAUCUACGGCAAAUAAAAAUUCAUUUCCUAAUAAUAGUUACAUCAUUGUAUAGCUUCGACAUUAAAAAUUAUAACAGUACUAAAAUAUAGUUCAAAUAACACUAAAAGUACAGCUACCAGCGGCCGCUUAUGGUGGCCCGCGGUUAAAAUUAUUUAUUUUAAUUACAAAAAUUUAAAUUAUUUUUAAAUAUAAAUAAAUCUUAAUUAAUUUAAUAUUACUUAAAAAUAUUAUUUUAUAUUAUACAAUUCAUAUUACACCAAACAUAAUAUUAUAAAAUAAUAAAUAGAAUACAGCUUAAUCCAGUAAAACUAAUAUACAGCACAAUACAGAGUCAUAAAUACGCUGUAAGACACACCAGAGAAAGAGGGCGAUAACGAUACGACAUCGUCUUGACCAUACUCAAGGGAAACAAAGGAAAACAAAAGAAAUGAUGGAAGAAACAAAAAUGCAAGUGGAACUGGAAUGUACAGUUUAGGAUAAGAAUGCCUUGGAAUUUGAGAAAGUUUCCAGAAUCCUUAUCCAUCCCUGCAACGUCAUCCAGCCUCUUGACCGUUUUUAAAAAAUAAAAUAAAACAAAAAGACAAGAUGGCCGCUUGAUAAAUCAUUAACUCCACCGCAUGUCCCUGGACCUUAUUAUAUAUAUAAAAAGGGUAGUCUGGCUAAUUCUUUCAUUCUCUCGUUGCAUCAUUAAUUUCUCAAGAAAGGAAAUUUUGUUAUAAAGAUAUGUUGGCGAUAUUUCACAAGGCGUUUGCCAAUCCGCCUGAGGAGCUUCAUAGCCCUGCGUCUCAAAAAUGUUCGAAGAGGCCUAAACUCCCUGAGGAUACCCUCAGUGACUUCCUCUCCCGUCACCCUGAUAACACUUUCUCCAUGAACUUUGGCCAUGCUGCUGUUCUUGCUUACGUUCCCCCUCACUCCCCUUUAACCAAGGACCGAAGGUUGUUUUGCGGGUUUGAGGACAUAUACUGUCUGUUCAUGGGGUCCUUGAACAACUUGUGCUCGCUGAUCAGGCAAUAUGGGUUGUCAAAGGGAACCGAUGAGGCCAUGUUUGUGAUAGAGGCGUAUCGUACGCUCAGAGACCGGGGUCCUUACCCAGCUGACCAGGUUGUCAAGGAUCUUGAUGGGAGCUUUGCUUUUGUGGUCUACGAUAGCAAGGCCGGCACGGUCUUCACUGCUCUGGUAGGUUAGGGUUUACUCGAAUGUACGCGCAGAGCAGACUCCUUUGGUUUCAUAAAUGAUUAAGCAGAAUUCUUUUUGUUAAUGAAUUAUUUAAUUUUGCAGGGUUCUGAUGGGGGAGUGAAGCUGUACUGGGGAAUUGCAGCCGAUGGAUCUGUGGUCAUAUCUGAUGACUUGGAGGUCAUCAAAGAGGGAUGUGCCAAGUCAUUUGCUCCCUUCCCACAGGGUAAGUUAAAUAUUUUCUCCCAUUAUUGGCUAUAAGAUGAUGAAACAGGGGUGUGUUGUUACACUUGCACAAUUGCAUUUUGCAGGGUGCAUGUUCCACAGUGAAGGAGGAUUGAUGAGCUUUGAGCAUCCAAUGAACAAGAUAAGGGCAAUGCCAAGAGUAGAUAGUGAAGGUGUCAUGUGUGGAGCCAAUUUCAAGGUUGAUAAAUACACUAGGAUCAACAGCAUUCCACGUGUGGGAAGUGAAGCAGACUGGACUAAUCAAUGGGACUCACAUUAAUUUAUCAAUUAAGGAUCAAUUUGAUUGAUCUUGCUGUGAAUUUGCCUACUUCCAACUCAAAAGCUGAAACUACUACCUUUCAUUUUUCCUUCUAUUAAGUUAAAAAUAAAGUUGUUACUCACUCUUGGAGGUUCUUUUGACCUUUUUCUUUGAUAGAGUGUUUUUCUUGUUAUGUGGGCAAUCCGCAAUUGUGUAUAUAUUAUUAAUCAUGUUUGGGUUCUAAUUAAUUUGACUUGUGUAAUGGAAUGAAGUUGUCGUUUGCUAGUUUGUGGCUUAAGCAUUACUAUGACCGUUAAUAAUUAUUAUUUUGGUGUAUGAACGUUCAAUGGCACACCAAAACUAUGUCGAGGGACAUCAGCUGAUGAGUACCAAACUUUCAAACAUACCGAUUGGAUUUUGUAAGAUUGUUAAAUUUUGAAAAGUUGCGAAGUUACGCUUUUGAUUCCUUUCCAAAUUGAAAAAAUAAUAAUAUAAAGUGUUUUUUUAUUAUUUUUGAAUAUAGCAUUACCUCAUGAAUGUAAAAUAGCAUCACUUCAUGAAUAAAAUUUUUUCUAAAUUCUUUUGCUUUGUUCAUCAAGUCUACUACUUUGCGUUACUGUGAUCUUACUGAAUAUUCGGAGGUUAAAAACUCAAAACUUAAUGUUAUUUAUAUGCUUUUUUUUUUUUUAACAAAAGACAUUGUUUUAUAGACACAAGGUCAUAAUAAUAUAAUUUGUACUGGGAAUCUUUUCAAUUUUAUUUUUUACCCACUUAGUAAUUUCUCGGCAGUAUCGCAGGAAACAACACCCAGCAAAUCUCUUAUAAUUUAAUACAAAUUGGCUGGUACCAGCUGCAAUUUCUCAUCAUUUUGUCAACUCAGCUGAUGAUGUAGAGAACUUUUGAAAAGAAUAAUCUUAGUACCUUUGCUCUUUUCAGAGAAAAAUUUUAAUCAUCAAUGCUAUUCCACUAAACAAGAAUAAUGAGGAACAAGAUUCAAGAUACAGAUGACGCCACAACAAACAUCAAUUUCCUAAUUCUACUAUAUAGGUGAUCAACACUGGGAUCCGAAAAUAGAAAAUGGCCUGGAAAGGCAGGAGAGGUCGUUUAUCAUUCAUAAGAUGUCUACAAAAAGGUGGUUCAACUGUAUUCUGCUUGUUGUUUCACCGGAACAGAAAGCAUCAUGUAAACAUCAUUCCUUCCACAUAUCAGCAAAUUCAUCAGGUUCCAAUGGAUUGGAAAGCUCGUGCAUCUUUCUCCUUGUCUUAGCUUUAACUUUCUUGGCAUACUUCCCGGCCUUAUUCUUCUUCUCCAGAGCUCUAAUCUGAAAGCAUUAAAACAAGAAGCAUAUUGCAUUAUUGCACGCAAGUAAAUUUAUACUCAAACAAGGUGAGGAUGGCAAGAACCUCUGCGCUAAAGUUCAAUAAAAAUAACAGAAAAUGGUGCCGACUACAUACCCUAGCAUGUCCAAAGACAUCCUACUAGUACCCAACGAAUCCAUUAGAGUCUUGAGUACUAUUUUGUCAACUAUGCAAAUACUACAUAGACUUUUGCGCUCAAAAUGAAGAAGAAAACUUAAAACCUUUCUGACCUGAUUUGGUGAUACAUAAAAUGGAUUCUCAUAUAGUGUUGGUCCUCCGAAGCUGCCUCCAAAUAUCUUAAUUGGAUUCAAACAAAAUCUUGGACCAACCUGCACAGAAUCAGUUUCCAAAAUUAUGCGACGAUUGCAAUACUUGCUACCACAAGUUUCACUGAAAGACAUAUGCAGCAAACCUCAACAAGGGUCAUUUUGUCCAGACCUCCCCGAGCCACCUUAUCUGAUUCAUUAUGAGGAACUGUAAUCUGUGAAGAAGAAGAAGAAUCAGAAAGGAUAGCAGCACUAAGAAGAAGAAGCUUCCCCACCCCCCACCCACCCCCCCCCCCCCCCACCAAAAAAAAAAAACCGCACAUCAGAAUUGCGUAAUUCACAAAGUUCAACUAGGAAAGGCACCAACCUGGUAAUUCCUGAACCAUAUGUGAUCAUCAACAAUGGAGAAAACAAAAACAUGAUCAUGGUAAGGCUUAGACUUCCUGUGCUCCUUUGGAGUUCCAAAUAUCUAAGAAAAAUGAAAAUCAGAACAUAAAAAGGUCUAUUCAUAAAUAUCUAAAAGACAUUGACUGAAUUGGCAAAGAACCAUCCAAGACAUUGUUUUCUAAUCAAAACAACUAUAGAACUGUGCACUCUUGAAACAAAGAUUGAGUAAUAUGGUAUUCAUGCCUGAAGCAUGCUAUAAGUUUCCUCAAGGUAUUUUAAAAGCCAUAAAUAUAAGACCCACAACCUAAAUAAGCUUUUCUCUGAUAGUUAGAAUGAGAUAAAAUGAAUAUGUCGGAGAAAAAUGGAUGUAAAACUAGGCAAGCAAAUUAACAGUAAGCGUAAUGCCACAUAGGAAAGAAUGCCAUAUCCACCAGACGAUGAUCAAGAAUUAGCAAAAGAACAAAAAUAUCGAAUACAUCGCGUGCACAGGUAUCAUUCAUGAAAACAUCUCUAGAUUAACACAUUGCAAUUGGUGAAGAGCAUUGGAGAAGCCUAGAUGACCAUUCCCAGAGCCAGAAUCCAUAUGCAAAACACAGACAGGACAAAAAUACUGCUUGCUUUAAAGGGAGGAAGCAAAAACCAAAGUACCUGAAUGAUCAUUUCCUUUAUAAGUUUCCAGUGGGCAUCUUUACCAAAAUUAGACGAGAAUGUCAGAAGAGGUCGUGACGCUUUUAGAUGGUUUCCAGUAAGCUUCAGUUCUUCCAUUGUGUGCACUAUAAUAAGAAGGCAAUUGUUAUAUGUUAGUUAUUUUUUUCCCCCCUCAAAUUGAUAACUAGAAAUAAAAAAUAAGAAGCAUCAAAAUUAUAUACACAGAAAACAACAAAUACUUCAGAUUUGCAAGAGUGUGUGUGUGUCAAAUACAAAUAUAGAUUCAGAAAUCAUGAACUUUAUACUUAUAAUGCAAUCUAAAGCUCUUAAGCCAAUAUGAUUUGAGAUCUAAUGAGAAAAUUACCCGCAUUUACUAAAAAUUUCACAGAUGGACCAUUGGGGCUCUUGGCCAUCCACAGAUAAAGGUCUUUAUGUUUCCUACACUGAAAUAAAGAGGGCAAAGAAUACAGUGUCAGACAUCAAAUUUAUAUCUGUAUGUUAGAGUAAUUAAACCUACAAGUGUGAACCAAACUUUCACUCUGAAAGCACUCCAAUAAAUUUGUAAAACUGCAACCCCCACAUAAUCGGAACAAUAACAGGUAGCAGACUCUUAAGACCCAAUCGAGAUUGGAAAUUGAAUUCUUAGUCCUUAAACUGAUUUAUUAACAUCCAACUGAAGCAGAAAGUUCUAUGCACUGAAGCUCUCUGCACUAUAUAGAUAAACAAAAAUUAUGGCAUGUGUAAGCAAACCAUUAAACGUCAGUCCUGUAAUUGGAGGAAGAAGUCUACAUCCCGCAUAUUAUAUUGCACAAUGUAAUUUUCAUGAAUGUUUCUAACUGACAGAAUUCGAUUCUCAUCAUUAUUUGGCAUUUGAAUAUAUAACAGAUUAGAACUAAACAUUCAAAACAAAACUUAAAAAAACCAUUACCUCAAAAAACAAGCAGGACGAACAGCUCUUGAGCUCAACAAGCUCAUUCAAAGUAGCACCUUUACUGCUUUUAGCCUCAACUUUAUUAUCCUUCUUACAGUGAGGCAAAAGCGACACCACAUUCAACAUCAAGUGCCUAUACCUACACAAACCACAAAAACAACCAAUACCCAGUGAUUAAUUCAACCUCUUGAAUCACAAAAACAACCCAAAAUUCAAUUCAAAUCAGAACAAAGCUCUCACCUGAAAUUGAUGCGACGCGAGCAAGUAACCAAAACCUUUUCUUUGUUUCUAAAAACACCUGGGGCUUCAGUUUCUUUUAUUUCAAUCUUGUCUUUCCAGCCCAAAAGCGUCCGCUUUGGCCGCUCUUCGGUAACACUGUCAUCUUUCUUUGUGGGUUCGAUAAUUUCAGUGUGCUUUCGUUUCUUCCCCAUAGCCUAAACAAUAUAGCGUAAAAAAAAAUAUAAAUAUUUGAAAAAUAAAGCAAAAAUUAUGAGAAAUAGAUAGAGAGAUCAAAGGGUUGCUUAGAAUCUUUUUUUUUUUUCCCUUUUUCAUUUACCUGAUUUUGCUUUUGCUGCUGCUGAGAAUGGAGGAAGAGAGAGAUGAUAAACCCUACUUAAACCUGUAACCAAAACUAGAGACGCCUAACGGGUUGUGAGCUAUUCGAGAAUUCAUGGGCUUUCUAUUCGGGCCUGAUCAGGUGCUCUUCAAACUCAAAAAUAUACUCUUCUUUUUUUUAAUGCAAAAACAAUCCAUUUAAUUGGCAUAUAAGUUUGAAAAUUAUUUUUUUUAUCUUCAUUUAUAUAUGUGUGUGUGGAAACAGGUGACUUAAAAGGGUGAUUUUGGUGUCAAACCUCCUCUUCAUAUAAACCGCAAUUUAAUUUUUGUGUUACUCAAAGGGUCACAGUGGAGGAAUGAUUAUAGAAUGUUAAAUUUAAUUUCAUAAUGAGGUGUGGAAUUUGUUUCUUUGGUGAAAAUCUCAAUUUAAUUUUAUCAUCAAAAAUUGAAGGCAUAAAUGACAUUAGAAUUGCUAAGUUGUCAACCGACAGUGAUGGAAAAAUUUAAAUCCAUAAUAAGUUACAAUGAUACAAGGAUUUAGUUCAUUAUAAUGCACAUAAAUAAAUUUAUGACGUAAAAAAAUUACUCUUAUUAUUUAAUGAAGAAGAUUUUCUCUUGAUUAUAACAAAGUUAUUUAGACAGUGUAUCAGCAGAAUUUUUUAUUAUAGAUAUUAGAAUAUUGUAAUAUAAUGAUUAAAAAAUUAUCCAUCUUUAUUAUAAAAUUAAAAAUAAUAAUGUAAAAUUAUAAUUAAGACUAGUAAGCCUAAAUCUCUAAAUAGCUAAUGUUAGGAAAAUAAAUGCAAAAAUUGAGGGGCUGGACGAGAUAUUCUAAACCGCCUUUACCACACUCCUCACUCUCCGAACAAGCGACAUCUGUGGCAGUGACAAUGACACGCACAUACACAGAACCUUUCUGCAAAAUUCUAUAAGCUUCUGCAAUCCAAAGCUUCUCUCUGCACAAAGAAGGAAUCAUAUAGCGCAAGAAGAAACAACCAAUCUCUACGGAAGCAUCAAGCAUGGCUGAUCGUUUCUUCCCAAAUGAAAUGCCAGAAACAUCACUUGCAGUUGCAGCUCAUGAAACAACAACUGCCCAAGACUCUCUCACCAAGCUCCUUUCUCUUCCGUACACAGCAGUUAGUGACACGCUCAAAAACUCAGCUUUGGCUCUCAAACAAACAGUAACUCCGUCUCUUUAACUUUCCCAUAUAGCAAUUUAUGAUUUUUUUUUCUUUCACUUUAUAAUCUUUUUUUUUUUUAAUCUUUAUAUGCCGACCAAGAUUUUUUAUUUUUAUUUUUUUGGUUUUGGGUUUUGUUGUUUAGGUUGUGAAUGAGACAUGGGGAGUGAGUGGAAAGCGUGUGCAAGAUUACACUUUGUAUACGGGUGCUCUCGGGACUGCUUACUUGCUGUUUAAAGCUUACCAAGUUACCAAGAAUGACAAUGAGCUUAAGUUGUGUUGUGAUAUUGUCAAGGCCUGUGAUUCUGCUUCGAGAGAUUCUGGGUACUCUCUCUGUCUCUAUGUUCUCACUAACACAUGAACACAUGUUUAUGUGUGGAUUACUUGAAGAGGGUAGGUUUUGUUUAGUUCAAAUUGAAUGGGAAACUUGCCAAAUGUUUUUCAAUUGAAGUUGCAAUUGUUUUGUGCCUAAAUUGCUUGAAUCACAGCUCAGCUCGUUCAGUGAACUAAAGUUGUUAUUUGAGAUGUUGGAUUGUUCAAAUUCACUGGAAUUUUUUUUUAACCCACUUGUGGUCUAUCUUUUCCAGUGUAAAUGAGUUUGGUACAAGUAAAUUUGAAGUGACUUGUUUGUUAGAGAGGGAAAAUGCGCAAAAUGGGAGGAAUUCUGAACCUGAGUUUCAGUUGAGUCGAAUUUAGCAAUUCGAAUCUAUUGGAAGUGUUGUGUGAUAUUUGUGAUGGUUGAAUUUGUCAAACUAGGUUGGUUAUAGAGAUGAAAUUGAUUGGGGGUGCUGAUCUGAAAUCCUCCUCCGUGGAAGUGAGAAUUUGAUGAAAUGUCUUUUUGUUAUGUGAAAUAUAUGAAUGUUUGGAAACUCUAGACUGAGUGUAGAUUCAGACGCAACUCCCAAGGCUGAAAAAUACUUCUAAAAGAAACGAAAAAGAUAGAAUUAAAUUGGAAAGGGUUGUAACGUGGUAUGUGGGUUCGCCUGCCUAGUUGGAAUUUUGCAAUUGAUUGUAUAGUGAGUUCUAGCUGUACACCAUUAGAAAUGAUUGAUCUGAUUUUCUGGAGUUUAUUAUGGGAUGCAUGGAUGUAGGUGUGUGACAUUCAUAUGUGGGCGGGCUGGUGUUUGUGCUCUCGGUGCUGUCCUGGCAAAGCAUGCUGGUGAUGAAAGGCUACUUGAUCUCUACUUAACAAAGUUUAAAGAGGUACUUGAUUGGCUAAUUCUUUUUCCAAUAUUGAUGACAUUGUUCCCCUAUAAAUACUUGAUUGUUAACUUUUGAUACCCUAUUUUAUUCUUGAAAGCAGAUCAAACUCCCUAGUGAUUUGCCAAAUGAGUUAUUAUAUGGGAGAGUGGGGUUUUUAUGGGCCUGUUCAUUCUUAAACAAGCAUAUUGGUAAAGACACAAUAUCUACUGCCCAAAUGGUAAGUUUUAUGUGCUCUUGUUUCUUCUUCUGGUUUGUCUCAAGUAAGCAGUCCAAAUUUUUUUAUCUUUUAAUUGGAUUAAUGUUUUUGCAGAGAGCAGUUGUGGAUGAAAUUAUUAAGGCUGGUAGACGAUUAGCUAACAGGGGAAGAUGCCCAUUGAUGUAUGAAUGGCAUGGGAAGAAGUAUUGGGGUGCUGCCCAUGGACUGGCAGGGAUUAUGCAUGUUUUGAUGGACAUGGAACUGAAACCUGAUCAGGUGGAGGAUGUUAAGGGUACACUUCGCUACAUGAUAAAGAACCGUUUCCCCAGCGGCAAUUAUCCUUCUAGUGAAGGAAGUGAAUCCGAUCGUCUUGUGCAUUGGUGCCAUGGUGCUCCUGGGGUCACUCUAACCCUCGCAAAAGCAGCUGAGGUGAUUCUUGAUGAGCAUUGUCAUUUUCAUUGCUGUCUAAUUUAUCAAAUUUAUUGUAAAGGAGUCAUUGUAGUAUAGAGAAAUGAAGAAUUAAAUGAUUUGUCAGCAUAAAUAUGAUUUAUUUAGCCUUGAUGGCAUAUAAAAAUAAAGAAUUAACUGAUGUGUGCGCUUCAUUAGAAAAUUGUUGUGUAUUUGCUCAGUUUUUUUCCAACUAGUCUAAGCAAAAUUACUUCAGAAAAUUGUCACAAGCUCACACCUAGUAUUUCAAGAGAAUUGAACAUUUUAGCAGUUGUUGAAAAGUUGAGGUAAUGCAUAUUGUUGUUAUAAAUGUCUAUAUUAUAGUUCUAUGUGGUGACUUCCAGUGGUGAGUGCUGUCAUUUACAUUAUAUUGGAGAAGCCAUUUGUAUUCCACAGAAUGCCAUUCUUUUUAUUUUGUUGGUGCUCUUAUGAUUAAACAUGAAAUUUAGCGAAGUUAUGACUUCCUUCCUCUUAUGCUGGCAUUGACUUUUCCCUCGGAGAUACUCAAGUCUCUAUGUUAGUCCUUUUAACCCUUUUUGGUUGAGAAAAACAUCUUUAGGAUCUGACAACUCUCUUGUCCACAAUGUUAAAUUAUCAGGUUUUUGGAGAGAAGGAAUUCUUGCAAGCGGCUGUGGAUGCUGGGGAGGUGGUAUGGAAAAGGGGUCUACUUAAGCGAGUUGGCAUCUGUCAUGGCAUCAGUGGGAACACCUAUGUUUUUCUAUCACUCUACCGACUGACUGGUAACGUCGAGUACUUGUACAGAGCCAAAGCAUUUGCAUGCUUUCUGUAUGAUAGAGCUCAAAAACUCAUAGCAGAAGGGAAGAUGCAUGGAGGUGAUCGCCCUUAUUCACUAUUUGAAGGUAUAGGAGGGAUGACUCAUCUCUUUCUGGACAUGAUUGAACCAUCCGAAGCUAGGUUCCCUGCUUAUGAACUUUAAGUUGCCUUCUGGAAAUUAUAUUAGGGGAGCACUUCUAAAUUCUGAAACCUUUUUUUUUUUUUUUUCAAAAUUUGGGUUACUGGUGUUCUACCUUCCUCCUGUAUAUGUUAUACCUUUUUACAGUGUGAACUUUAAGAGUUUCUUUUAACUAUUACUUCACUCAAAGCACUAUGCUGACAAAUCUGGCAUUCUUCUAAGUUUGGAAGUCUCUUGAUACAUCAAGCCCUGAUUACUCAGCCAAAAUCCAAAUGUUUAAGAAGUCCUUGAAGUACAAUUAACAUGAAGCCGAAAUGUUUCUCUUUUCAUUUCAUAUUAGACUCUGAAAUAACUACCACUUUGCAACAAGAGUGAGUGAUUUAUUGACAUUUUUUUUCCACAAGCCAUCUACAUCUACAAUUGAAAAGCUGACCACAAUUCCAAACUCCGCUACCUAACAAACCUUCAAGCUCAUAAAACCCUCCCGUAACAUAAACUGGUAGAUCUGAAUCUCCAGGUUUUGAAUUAGGCCAAACCAACAAGUUUCUCACUUAUCUGGUAGAUCUGAAUCUCCAGGUUUUGAAUUAGGCCAAACCAACAAGUUUCUCACUUAUCUCCCAGACUUUACGUGCCUUCUCAACGUCACUAGCUUCCUGAGACAACUGAUUCUCAAAUGAAGCUGAGUCCUUGUUCCAGCUCCAGUAAACACCUGAUUUUGUCAAGCUUGGAUCGCUCACAACCUAACAGAAGCAACCAGUCAGAUAACACCCUCCAGGCAUCAAUCACAAAUAUUUGCAUAAUAUAAAAACAGAGAAAGCACCAAAUCAUGUUAUUUUACCUGAGCAAGUCUUUUUCCAG